AACGUAGGUUCCGAGCGUUAUCCGGAUUUACUGGGCGUAAAGCGCGUUCAGGCGGUUUGGCAAGUCGGGCAUGAAAUCUCUCGGCUCAACCGGGAGAGGUUGUCCGAUACUGCUGGACUUGAGGGCAGUAGAGGGUGGUGGAAUUCCGGGUGUAGUGGUGAAAUGCGUAGAUAUCCGGAGGAACACCAGUGGCGAAAGCGGUCACCUGGACUGUACCUGACGCUGACACGCGAAAGCGUGGGGAGCAAACAGG
rnacentral:rRNA from 1 species